AAAAUAAUCCUACCCUUGUGGAUUUUGUUUGUUGAAUAAUUUUUUUUUUAAAAAUUAUUGGAGUCUUUCCCUUUAGAGUUUGCUUUUGAGUUUGUAAAAGAAUUCGAAAACAUCUAAUGGGGAUGGUCAAUAAUUUUUUUUGAAAAAAGACAUUUUUUUAAAAUUAAACUUUUUGUAUUCAUUUGGUCUAAAAAUUAUUUUAUAAUAUAAAAACAACUUUUGACAAUGGAUCUCUUGGUUCUCGCAACGAUGAAGAACGCAGCAAAAUGCGAUAAGUAGUGUGAAUUGCAGAAUACGUGAAUCAUCGAAUCUUUGAACGCAUAUUGCACUUUUUUAGUUUACUAAAAAAGUAUGUCUGUUUGAGUAUCAGUAAAAUAUUCUCAUAAAAAUCAUUGUAUUUUUAUGGUUAUGAGUGUUUUACAACGAUACAGUUGUUUCACUUUAAAUUUUUUUUUAAUAUUGAAAUUUUUCUAAUUUUAAUAAUUAAAAUUGGAUAAAAUUUUCCCGUCAAAAGGAAUAACCUAAACAAUUUUAAAUGAUUAAUUUAGCAAAAUUUUCGAAAAAAGGAAAAUUUUUAUUAAAAUAACUUGAUCUCAAAUCAGAUAAGAGUACCCGCUGAACUUAAGCAUAUCAAUAAGCGGAGGAAAAGAAACUAACAAGGAUUCCCUUAGUAACGGCGAGUGAAGCGGGAAGAGCUCAAAUUUGAAAUCUUCAAGGUUUUACCUUGACGAAUUGUAGUUUAAAGAAGUGUUUUCUGCUGAAGUUUUGGUAAAAGUUCUUUGGAAUAGGACAUCAUAGAGGGUGAGAAUCCCGUAUUUGACCAUUAUUUUCAGCUUUGUGAUACACUUUCAAAGAGUCGGAUUGUUCGGGAAUGCAGUCCAAAAUGGGUGGUAAAUUUCAUCUAAAGCUAAAUAUCGGCGAGAGACCGAUAGCGAACAAGUACCGUGAGGGAAAGAUGAAAAGAACUUUGAAAAGAGAGUUAAACAGUACGUGAAAUUGUCAAAAGGGAAGCGUUUGACACCAGUGCUGUUUUCUCGAAAUCAAUUAAAAAUGGCUCGAUUUUGUAUUGCUGAGACCUUAAAAGCUCACUGUACAUUUUUCGUGUCUUUUUUAAUGCACUUUUCGUUAACAAGUCAACAUCAGUUUCUUUUGUUGUAAAAGGGUCAUUGGAAGGUGGCUUUCUUUUCGGAGAAAGUGUUUAUAGCCUUUGGCCUCUGCAAUCGAGAGACUGAGGUCUGCAGCGUAGACUCUUCGGGGUUAGAUACAUUUGUGCUAAGUUAUAGCUUUUUAUAGACAACUUGUUGACUAUAAUUAGUCUUGUAGCUUACUCGCUUAUGCUAUUUUACCUAC
rnacentral:misc_RNA from 1 species